GAGAGACUCUGAAAGACUCACC
rnacentral:miRNA from 1 species